CGCAAGCCUGACGGAGCAAGACCGUGUGGGGGAGGAAGGCUCUUGGGUUGUAAACCCCUUUUCUCAGGGAAGAACCAAAUGACGGUACCUGAGGAAUCAGCCUCGGCUAACUCCGUGCCAGCAGCCGCGGUAAUACGGAGGAGGCAAGCGUUAUCCGGAAUGAUUGGGCGUAAAGCGUUCGUAGGUGGCUAUUCAAGUCUGCUGUCAAAGACAGAAGCUCAACUUCUGAAAGGCAGUGGAAACUGAGUAGCUGGAGUGCGGUAGGGGCAGAGGGAAUUCCCGGUGUAGCGGUGAAAUGCGUAGAGAUCGGGAAGAACACCGGUGGCGAAAGCGCUCUGCUGGGCCGCAACUGACACUGAGGGACGAAAGCUAGGGGAGCG
rnacentral:rRNA from 1 species